rnacentral:rRNA from 1 species
UGAGUUGUAAUGACGGUACCUGAGUAGAAAGCCACGGCUAACUACGUGCCAGCAGCCGCGGUAAUACGUAGGUGGCAAGCGUUGCCCGGAAUUAUUGGGCGUAAAGCGCGCGCAGGUGGGAUAUUAAGUCUGGUGUUAAAGUUCGGGGCUCAACCCCGUGAAGCAUUUGGAAACUGAUAUUCUUGAGUGCAGGAGAGGAAAGUGGAAUUCCUAGUGUAGCGGUGAAAUGCGUAGAUAUUAGGAGGAACACCAGUGGCGAAGGCGACUUUCUGGACUGUGUCUGACACUGAGGCGCGAAAGCUAGGGUAGUGAACAGGAUUAGAUACCCUGGUAAUCCUAGCUGUAAACGAUGGGUACUAGGUGUUGGGGGUAUCGACCCCUCCAGUGCCGGAGUUAACGCAAUAAGUACUCCGCCUGGGGAGUACGGCCGCAAGGUUGAA